UACGGGGGGGGUAAGCGUUGUUCGGAAUUACUGGGCGUAAAGGGCGUGUAGGCGGUUAUGCAGGUCCGCUGUGAAAACUGGAGGCUUAACCUCCAGACGUCGGUGGAAACCGUAUGACUAGAGUCCGGAAGAGGAGAGUGGAAUUCCUGGUGUAGCGGUGAAAUGCGCAGAUAUCAGGAGGAACACCUAUUGCGAAGGCAGCUCGCUGGGACGUAACUGACGCUGAGACGCGAAAGCGUGGGGAGCAAACAGG
rnacentral:rRNA from 1 species